UACGUAGGGUCCGAGCGUUGUCCGGAAUUAUUGGGCGUAAAGGGCUCGUAGGCGGAUUUGCCCGUCAGGGGUGAAAUCCCGGGGCUCAACCUCGGAACUGCCUCUGAUACAGCAAGUCUUGAGUCCGGAAGAGGUGGGUGGAAUUCCUAGUGUAGAGGUGAAAUUCGUAGAUAUUAGGAAGAACACCAGUGGCGAAGGCGGCCCACUGGUCCGGUACUGACGCUGAGGUGCGAAAGCGUGGGGAGCAAACAGG
rnacentral:rRNA from 1 species